UACAGAGGUCCCAAGCGUUGUCCGGAAUCAUUGGGCGUAAAGCGCGCGUAGGCGGCCCGGUAAGUCCGCUCUGAAAGUCCAGGGCUUAACCCUGGAAAGCGGGUGGAUACUGCCGGGCUAGAAUCCGGAAGAGGCGAGUGGAAUUCCUGGUGUAGCGGUGGAAUGCGCAGAUAUCAGGAGGAACACCAAUAGCGAAGGCAGCUCGCUGGGACGGUAUUGACGCUAAGGCGCGAAAGCGUGGGGAGCAAACAGG
rnacentral:rRNA from 1 species